UCCAGACUCCUACGGGAGGCAGCAGUGGGGAAUAUUGCACAAUGGGGGAAACCCUGAUGCAGCGACGCCGCGUGAGUGAAGAAGUAUUUCGGUAUGUAAAGCUCUAUCAGCAGGAAAGAAAAUGACGGUACCUGACUAAGAAGCCCCGGCUAACUACGUGCCAGCAGCCGCGGUAAUACGUAGGGGGCAAGCGUUAUCCGGAUUUACUGGGUGUAAAGGGAGCGUAGACGGUGAAGCAAGUCUGAAGUGAAAGGCGGGGGCUCAACCCCCGGACUGCUUUGGAAACUGUUUGACUGGAGUGCAGGAGAGGUAAGUGGAAUUCCUAGUGUAGCGGUGAAAUGCGUAGAUAUUAGGAGGAACACCAGUGGCGAAGGCGUCUUACUGGACCGAAACUGACGUUGAGGCUCGAAAGCGUGGGGAGCAAACAGGAUUAGAUACCCUUGUACCA
rnacentral:rRNA from 1 species